rnacentral:tRNA from 1 species
GAUUAAAUGGCUGAAGAUAGGCGAUAAACUGUAAAUUUAUUUAUGAGAAUAUUCUCUUUAAUCA